CAGAAGCGGGGGAUAACACCUGGAACAGAUGCUAAUACCGCAUAACAACUUGGACCGCAUGGUCCGAGUUUGAAAGAUGGCUUCGGCUAUCACUUUUGGAUGGUCCCGCGGCGUAUUAGCUAGAUGGUGGGGUAACGGCUCACCAUGGCAAUGAUACGUAGCCGACCUGAGAGGGUAAUCGGCCACAUUGGGACUGAGACACGGCCCAAACUCCUACGGGAGGCAGCAGUAGGGAAUCUUCCACAAUGGACGAAAGUCUGAUGGAGCAACGCCGCGUGAGUGAAGAAGGGUUUCGGCUCGUAAAACUCUGUUGUUAAAGAAGAACAUAUCUGAGAGUAACUGUUCAGGUAUUGACGGUAUUUAACCAGAAAGCCACGGCUAACUACGUGCCAGCAGCCGCGGUAAUACGUAGGUGGCAAGCGUUGUCCGGAUUUAUUGGGCGUAAAGCGAGCGCAGGCGGUUUUUUAAGUCUGAUGUGAAAGCCUUCGGCUCAACCGAAGAAGUGCAUCGGAAACUGGGAAACUUGAGUGCAGAAGAGGACAGUGGAACUCCAUGUGUAGCGGUGAAAUGCGUAGAUAUAUGGAAGAACACCAGUGGCGAAAGCGGCUGUCUGGUCUGUAACUGACGCUGAGGCUCGAAAGUAUGGGUAGCAACAGAUAGAUACCCUGGUAGUCAUACGUAACGAUGAUGCUAGUG
rnacentral:rRNA from 2 species